rnacentral:rRNA from 1 species
ACUCCUACGGGAGGCAGCAGUGGGGAAUCUUGGACAAUGGGCGCAAGCCUGAUCCAGCCAUGCCGCGUGAGUGAUGAAGGCCCUAGGGUCGUAAAGCUCUUUCGCCUGUGAUGAUAAUGACAGUAGCAGGUAAAGAAACCCCGGCUAACUCCGUGCCAGCAGCCGCGGUAAUACGAAGGGGGUUAGCGUUGUUCGGAAUUACUGGGCGUAAAGCGCGCGUAGGCGGACUAUUAAGUCAGAGGUGAAAUCCCGGGGCUCAACCCCGGAACCUGCCUUUGAUACUGGUAGUCUAGAGUUCGAGAGAGGUGAGUGGAAUUCCGAGUGUAGAGGUGAAAUUCGUAGAUAUUCGGAGGAACACCAGUGGCGAAGGCGGCUCACUGGCUCGAUACUGACGCUGAGGUGCGAAAGUGUGGGGGAGCGAAACAGGAUUAGAUACCCUGGUAGCGACUGA